GCUGGGCGUGGUGGCUCACGCCUGUAAUCCAAGCAUUUUGGAGGCCAAGGUGGGUGGAUCACCUGAGGUCGGGAGUUCAAGACCAGCCUGACCAACAUGAUGAAACCCCGUCUUUA
ensembl:misc_RNA Metazoa_SRP Metazoan signal recognition particle RNA